UGUAUAUAAGGUGAAGCUAGUUAGUUCCCUUUUACCUCGGUCUCAUCCAUCGCUCGCUCCAUAGUUUGCCCUACCUAACGAAACGUUUCACAUUCGAGGGAAAAUGAACAAAAACAAGAACAUGGCGAGGGAGCAGCAUGAGGAG